AACGUAGGAGGCAAGCGUUAUCCGGAUUUACUGGGCGUAAAGCGCGUGCAGGCGGCUUGGCCAGUUGGAUGUGAAAGCUCCCGGCUCAACUGGGAGAGGUCGUUCAAUACUGCCGAGCUAGAGGAUGGUAGAGGGAGGUGGAAUUCCGGGUGUAGUGGUGAAAUGCGUAGAUAUCCGGAGGAACACCAGUGGCGAAAGCGGCCUUCUGGACCAAUCCUGACGCUCAGACGCGAAAGCUAGGGUAG
rnacentral:rRNA from 1 species